UUACAACUUUUAGUUUCAUUUUUUGGUUUCUGUCUCCUAUUGGUAUUAUUCUUUUUUUUUUUUUUUUGGUCUUUUUGCCAUUUCUUGGGCUGCUCCCACAGCAUAUGGAGGUUCCCAGGCUAGGAGUCUAAUCGGGGCUGUAGCUGCCAGCCUAUGCCAGAGUCACAGCAAUGUGGGAUCCGAGCUGCAUCUGCGACCUACACCACAGCUCACGGCAACACCGGAUCCUUAACCCAGUGCACAAGGGCAGGGAUCGAGCCCACAACCUCAUGGUUCCUAGUUGGACUCAUUAACCACUGAGCCACGAUGGGAACUCCAGUUUUGGUCUUAUUCUCGGUUUGUAAAUGGAAGAUGGGAAGUAAAGUCUUAAGGGCAAUAGACUCUGUACCUAAACCGAGUGUGGAUUUGCUUCCCUUCCUGGGAGUUCGUGAAAUCUCCCUGCUGCUCUCCUAAGGAGAGCCACAGACCUUGAGGGAUCAAUCAUUGAAGCUAGUUUCCUCCCAAAGGAGACUACUUCAUCUAACAUCUCUUACUUUACAAGGUGUAAUACGGUCUACAAACCACCAUCCCUCUGGUAAGCAGCUUUUUAAAAAUUUUUAUGUUUGUCUUUUUAGGGCCACACCUACAGCAUAUGGAAGUUCCCACACUACAGGUUGAAUCUGAGCUGCAGCUGCCAUCCUACCCCAUAGCCACAGCCAUGCUAGGAUUCAAGCCACAUCUGUGACCUACACCAUAGUUUGUGGUAACUCCAGAUCCAUAACCCAGUCAGCGAGGCCAGAUCAAACCUGCGUCCUCAUGGAUACUAGUCAGGUUCAUUACCACUGAGCCACCAUGGGAACUCCAUUGUAAGCAGUCAUGGAAUAGCGGAAAAGUGUAAACAGAAAAGGAACCAACAUUCACAGAGUGAAAUAAGUAGGAGAAUCCAGUCCAAACAAGUAGGAGAAAGCACUGUCCCCUUGAUACAAUGUCCUAUAUCUCACUUUUUAAUAACAAAAAAACUCCACAAAUUAUUCUUUUUUUUUUUUUUUUUUUUUUUUUUUUUUUUGCUCUCAAUCAGCAAAACCCCACCAAUGGGCCAAAACAAAGGGACAAGCACAAAGUAAGCUCUUAACUGUUGUUCAACGACUGAAUGAGUAAAGUACACUCAAGCCUCACACUUUCUUUUUCAUGCUUUCAGGUACAUGACACACACCUGUAGUCAUAACAUGGCCCACGUGGCCCCCACUACCCUCCUCAAAGUGCAGACUCACCUAGCAAAGGCAAAACACUGUAACUGCAGAAUACAGGCUCUGCACGCAAAUAUGAUGAGGCCCUAGACAGGAAAUUUUCCCAAUUAAACAAGCCUGGGUUUCAGGAGCACAAUGGGGAUCAUGACAAGUCCCAGUGGAAUGUACUGUAUAUAAGAGAAAGAACCUGGAGUUCCCAUCAUGGCUAAGCAGAAAUGAAUCUGACUAAUAUCCAGGAGGAUGCAGGUUCGAUCCCUGGCCUCGCUCAGUAGGUUGAGGAUCCAGAGUUGCAAUUAGCUGUGGUGUAGGUUGCAGACUCAGCUGGGAGCCCGGGUUGCUGUGGCUGUGGUGUAGGUUGGCAGCUACAGCUCAGACUGUACCCCUAGCCUGGGAACCUCCAUUUGCUGUGGGUGAGGCCCUAAAAUGACCAAAAAAUAAAAAAAAUAAAAAAAAAUAAAACUGCA
ensembl:lncRNA